AGUGAACGCUGGCGGUAGGCCUAACACAUGCAAGUCGAACGGCAGCACAGUAAGAGCUUGCUCUUACGGGUGGCGAGUGGCGGACGGGUGAGGAAUACAUCGGAAUCUACUUUUUCGUGGGGGAUAACGUAGGGAAACUUACGCUAAUACCGCAUACGACCUACGGGUGAAAGCAGGGGAUCUUCGGACCUUGCGCGAUUGAAUGAGCCGAUGUCGGAUUAGCUAGUUGGCGGGGUAAAGGCCCACCAAGGCGACGAUCCGUAGCUGGUCUGAGAGGAUGAUCAGCCACACUGGAACUGAGACACGGUCCAGACUCCUACGGGAGGCAGCAGUGGGGAAUAUGGGACAAGGGGCGCAAGCUUGAUCCAGCCAUACCGCGUGGGUGAAGAAGGCCUUCGGGUUGUAAAACCCUUUUGUGGGGAAAGAAAAGCAGCAGGUUAAUACCCCGCUGUUCUGACGGUACCCAAAGAAUAAGCACCGGCUAACUUCGU
rnacentral:rRNA from 1 species